CCGGCCGCUGCUGGAUUGCAGGUUACCUUAGAUGAGAAACCCAAAAUUCUUGAUGUCAUUGAUUGUUCUGGCAGUGGAGAUGUUGAUACCUCAAAGGUGGUGAAGGCUGAUGCUGAUGGUUGUAUUUGCGGUGCAUCAGGGGCAUCUUUGAUCAUCAAUACUUCAUAGAAAAAUCCUUCUGGUGAAUGGCAUAUUGGUUACAAAUUUAUUUAUGAGAUUUUUACAGAAGAAUUAACUUCUCGUUUGAAGGUAGAA